GACGAACGCUGGCGGCGUGCUUAACACAUGCAGGUCGAACGGAAAGGCCCCCAUCUUGGUGGGGGUGCUCGAGUGGCGAACGGGUGAGUAACACGUGGGUGAUCUGCCCUGUACUUCGGGAUAAGCUUGGGAAACUGGGUCUAAUACCGGAUAGGACCAUGGUUUAGUGUCUCAUGGUGGAAAGAUUAUUGUUUUGGUGCAGGAUGAGCUCGCGGCCUAUCAGCUUGUUGGUGGGGUAAUGGCCUACCAAGGCGUCGACGGGUAGCCGGCCUGAGAGGGUGGACGGCCACAUUGGGACUGAGAUACGGCCCAGACUCCUACGGGAGGCAGCAGUGGGGAAUAUUGCACAAUGGGCGCAAGCCUGAUGCAGCGACGCCGCGUGGGGGAUGACGGCCUUCGGGUUGUAAACUCCUUUCGUUAGGGACGAAGCCACGCUUGUUGGGUGUGGUGACGGUACCUUUGUUAAGAAGCACCGGCUAACUACGUG
rnacentral:rRNA from 1 species